rnacentral:rRNA from 1 species
UGCAGUCGAGCGGAACGAGUUAUCUGAACCUUCGGGGAACGAUAACGGCGUCGAGCGGCGGACGGGUGAGUAAUGCCUAGGAAAUUGCCCUGAUGUGGGGGAUAACCAUUGGAAACGAUGGCUAAUACCGCAUGAUGCCUACGGGCCAAAGAGGGGGACCUUCGGGCCUCUCGCGUCAGGAUAUGCCUAGGUGGGAUUAGCUAGUUGGUGAGGUAAGGGCUCACCAAGGCGACGAUCCCUAGCUGGUCUGAGAGGAUGAUCAGCCACACUGGAACUGAGACACGGUCCAGACUCCUACGGGAGGCAGCAGUGGGGAAUAUUGCACAAUGGGCGCAAGCCUGAUGCAGCCAUGCCGCGUGUGUGAAGAAGGCCUUCGGGUUGUAAAGCACUUUCAGUCGUGAGGAAGGUAGUGUAGUUAAUAGCUGCAUUAUUUGACGUUAGCGACAGAAGAAGCAACGG